AUGCCUGAGCCCAUCAAUCUAGCGGGAGAGAUGGGAUAACCUGUCCGACAGUAGAUCGCCGAUAGGACUCCACCGAAAAAAUCACUUGAAAAAUCUCCAAAAAUCACUUCAAGCCGAGGGCAGUCCGCGGAGCUUGGCCAGGGUUGGCGCAGUCGCUCCCAGUUCCUACCAAUUCUUACUCGACAGCUCGAAUGAUUUGAGCCAGUGGCGGCUUUAAGUAGUACUUGAUAGGUUUUGACCUUAAGGAGAGAGCCAGUUCUGGAGAACAACCUAACUUCUUUGAUUGAGCACUCACAUAAUGCACUGGAACAUGUUAGGAGAUUAAGGUUUAUAACGAUAAAAUGAAGACCAUGAUAAAACAGCCUUGUACUUAGUUCAUCAGUUCUUACCUUUCUUACCUACUUAAUGAAGAUGUCUUAUGAAAAGUGUACUUCAAGGAAUGAAAUGCUGUUUAUAAUAUAUGCUGUUACCGAGGUGGAUAUUACUAUCCCUUAUUUAUGGAAAAAGUUUUAUUCUAAGUGUUGUUUCUCAUUGAGUAUUAACUAAAAGGAAAAAAAUUAAUGUCCUAAACUUUUGAGAUAGAUUUGGUUCUAGCUAUGUGCUAUGAAGAAAAUGUUGGCAAAUAAAUAAAUUUAAACCUCUUCUGUUAAAUUUCCGUGCAAGGUGACAAGAUUAACAACAACAAAAAGAAUUCUUGAAUUUGUUGAGAGGUUUUUCUGUCAUUUUCCCACUCUUCCAGCCCCAGACCUCAAAAGGCAUAUAUUUUGACACCUAAGGCACAUGAAGAAAGGAUUGAGAUUGGAAGCUACAGACACUGUCUGUUCUGAGCAGAGUUUCUGACAAUAGACCACUGUAGCAAAGGGCAAUAAAUGCCACUGAGAAUAUCCCUCAACACAAAUCUUUACGUCUAAUUUACAUGCCUGAUCUGCUGACUUCUGUCUUUUCAUGACUAAAUUAUGGAGCGGAGGAGUUUCACAGGAAGGAUGGUAAAAUUUGUGUCAAUGGGAGGUAAUGGGCCAUAAUAUGCCAUAAGAGUCCCCCUUACUCUGCAUACUGUCUUUCAGGUAUGGCUCUUCCUUUUUUAAAAAUAGCUAAUACUUUUACAUGGUCUGGUGGAAAAAAAAGCCCUUCUCCCAUGCCUAAACCCCACUCACCGAGUUCCCUCUCCACAGGUGACCUGGAUCUUUGCUGACAAUUUCAUGGAUAUAUAAGAAAACGAGUAUAUUUUUUCACAAAUGGAAAUUAUAAAGUGGAAAUAUAUCUUUUUCAACAUUAUA